rnacentral:rRNA from 1 species
UACGUAGGGUGCGAGCGUUAAUCGGAAUUACUGGGCGUAAAGCGUGCGCAGGCGGUUCGUUAUGUCCGUUGUGAAAGCCCCGGGCUCAACCUGGGAAUGGCAAUGGAAACUGGCGGGCUAGAGUGUGGCAGAGGGGGGUGGAAUUCCGCGUGUAGCAGUGAAAUGCGUGGAGAUGCGGAGGAACACCGAUGGCGAAGGCAGCCCCCUGGGCCAACACUGACGCUCAGGCACGAAAGCGUGGGGAGCAAACAGG